CACACCUCAAUGUUAAAGCAUCAUGGUAACAACUAUUUCAGUAGGGAGAUUUAUGGAGUUCCUAAGGUGCUAGAGAGAUGAGUACUCAGCUUAGCAAAGGCCACAGUCCAGGUUAAUCAUUUUAAGUCAAGGUUUACCCUUAUUACUAUGAGAUCAACAAAGCUCAGCUCAACUCAUCUCAUCUCAUCUAACCAUUACAAUUUUCUCAAACGUUCAAACAAAAUAUAAUAACCAAUUCAACUUUUUCAAAUC